GGGCGGCUAGCUCAAAUGCUAGAGCAGCGGAUCCUUUGUCCGAAAGAUUGAGGUUCAAUUCCUUGGCUGCCCA
rnacentral:tRNA from 2 species